rfam:Nematostella vectensis strain CH2 x CH6 NEMVEscaffold_731_Cont32354, whole genome shotgun sequence.
GGUAGCGUGGCCGAGCGGUCUAAGGCGCUGGUUUAACGCACAAGUCUCGAAAGAGGCAUGGGUUCGAAUCCCACCGCUGCCA